rnacentral:rRNA from 1 species
UACGUAGGGCGCAACCGUUGUUCGGAUUUACUGGGCGUAAAGCGCGCGUAGGCGGCACUGCAAGUCGCUUGUGAAAUCUCCGGGCUUAACCCGGUAGGGGCCAAGUGAUACUGCAGAGCUAGAGUGCGGAAGAGGCAGCUGGAAUUCUCGGUGUAGCGGUGAAAUGCGUAGAUAUCGAGAGGAACACCGGUGGCGAAGGCGGGCUGCUGGGCCGACACUGACGCUGAGGCGCGAAAGCUAGGGGAGCAAACAGG